rnacentral:rRNA from 1 species
AGAGCGAACGCUGGCGGCAGGCCUAAUACAUGCAAGUCGAACGCACCUUCGGGUGAGUGGCGGACGGGUGAGUAACACGUGGGAACGUGCCCUUUGGUUCGGAAUAAUCCGGGGAAACCUGGCCUAAUACCGAAUGUGCCCUUCGGGGGAAAGAUUUAUCGCCAUUGGAGCGGCCCGCGUCUGAUUAGCUAGUUGGUGGGGUAAAGGCCCACCAAGGCUACGAUCAGUAGCUGGUCUGAGAGGAUGAUCAGCCACACUGGGACUGAGACACGGCCCAGACUCCUACGGGAGGCAGCAGUAGGGAAUCUUGCGCAAUGGGCGAAAGCCUGACGCAGCCAUGCCGCGUGAAUGAUGAAGGUCUUAGGAUUGUAAAAUUCUUUCAGUCGGGGAAGAUAAUGACGGUACCGCAGAAGAAGCUCGGCUAACUUCGCGCCAGCAGCCGC